UACGUAGGGUGCAAGCGUUAAUCGGAAUUACUGGGCGUAAAGCGUGCGCAGGCGGUGAUGUAAGACAGUUGUGAAAUCCCCGGGCUCAACCUGGGAACUGCAUCUGUGACUGCAUAGCUAGAGUACGGUAGAGGGGGAUGGAAUUCCGCGUGUAGCAGUGAAAUGCGUAGAUAUGCGGAGGAACACCGAUGGCGAAGGCAAUCCCCUGGACCUGUACUGACGCUCAUGCACGAAAGCGUGGGGAGCAAACAGG
rnacentral:rRNA from 1 species